rnacentral:lncRNA from 1 species
GUUGUCAUUGUGAAGAAUUGUUCAGAAGAACGGGGGAUUUACUCGUGUCCUAGUUUACUGGCUUGAAGGCUCAAGCUGCACGAGGGCAGGCAGGAGCUGCUCUCUUCUCACUGACCGUUUGCCAUGACAUGAGAAUGAACAUCGUGCAACAGGCGACCUACAGCUACAGCUCCAUUCUCCACAGCAUCCCCGCCUUGAGCAGUGGCAGUGGCACAGCAAAGCUGGGCAAACCAAGAGGGGCAGGGACCAGCUGCAGGGAGGUGCAGGGAGGCAGCACGGAAGUUCACCCACCUUCAGAUGAAAAGGGAAACCGGUGGUGGGAAGGGCACGAGAGGAGCAAUGGCGCGAUGGGGAUGGGAAUAGCUGCUGAGGCUGGAGGAGGGUGGGGAGGAAGGGCUGCUCCUGCAUCGCCAGCCCCAGCUCUAGCACCAAACACAAGCAUGAGCUGUCACUGCUGUGGAAUGCAGCAGAUGGCCAAAUUGUUAGAUUCUCCCUUGCAAGAGCAAAAUGAUAUACUGUUUUUUACCAUCCUUGCCUGGAGCUGAGUGCUUGCUUCGCAUACCAUGAAGAUAUACUGUACAAAGGUACUUCGUGCCAGAAAUGUGCUCUAGUGAUAAUCAGGAGAAAACUGUGCUUAAAGUGACAUUUAAAAAAUAAUUAUUAUGGUCCAUUGCUGUUAGUCACACGUCCCCAAAGCUGAUCUGGCUAACAGAGCUUUCCAAAGCAUUUUUCCUUGAUAUGUCAUCUGGAAAUUAUGCCAUCGUGCUGUCACCGUGUCUUGCCUUGCAAUCACCCGGACACUAUCUAUGUGCUCACACACACCAGUUUUUUUCCCUCUUUUAGGGGGAAAGAAAUUCUCUUUUCCUUUCUCUGUUUCUCACGCUGCUUUGGCUGUGGUCAUACCGCUUCUUGGCUCAGCCAUUUGCUGGAGAGAAGAGGCCUUACUGCUGCAGUGCUGGCUAUGAAGCACCGCGAUCCCACCUCCCCUUGCUUGAGGCCUCAGCCAGCAGCACUGCUGGGCCCUGAUGUGCCCCGCAGCAGCUGAAGGCUCUGCAGAACCCAGGUCUGUGUACAGAUGCUGCAGAGCUCACCUGCGUCAUACUAAUAUCAGGUGCUUGAAACUUUAUAUUGGAGGCCCAGGGCUGUGAGUGGCGAGUCAUUGCAGCAGGUGUGCUUUGCCAGCUCCAGCUCUGAGCUGACGAUAAGGGAGAGGGGGGAGGCUCUCAAGAGAGCCCUGGCGGAGACUGAAGUGGAAGAGAAAACCCAGAGUGCCUGGUAAGCC